rnacentral:rRNA from 1 species
CUCUGAGACAGGUGCUGCAUGGCUGUCGUCAGCUCGUGUUGUGAAAUGUUGGAUUAAGUCCCGCAACGAGCGCAACCCUUAUCCUUUGUUGCCAGCACGUAAUGGUGGGAACUCAAAGGAGACUGCCGGUGAUAAACCGGAGGAAGGUGGGGAUGACGUCAAGUCAUCAUGGCCCUUACGAGUAGGGCUACACACGUGCUACAAUGGCGUAUACAAAGAGAAGCGAACUCGCGAGAGCAAGCGGACCUCAUAAAGUACGUCGUAGUCCGGAUCGGAGUCUGCAACUCGACUCCGCGAAGUCGGAAUCGCUAGUAAUCGUAGAUCAGAAUGCUACGGUGAAUACGUUCCCGGGCCUUGUACACACCGCCCGUCACACCAUGGGAGUGGGUUGCAAAAGAAGUAGGUAGCUUAACCUUCGGGAGGGCGCUUACCACUUUGUGAUUCAUGACUGGGGUG